AAUGAAAGUUCCUACCAGGAAUUCGUAUAUUUUACUUCAUACCAUUAGUAAGUUUGUUUUUAUUGUCAUACCUAACAACUGUGAUGUGCGCACUUUGUCUUUUGUCUUUUGAAGACGAAGCGAUUCGGAGUUGGCCUUAAAAUUAUAUGCAGUACAAUCAUUCAUCAUAAACAAAUCGGAGAUAAGUAUUCGUUUUUUUACAUCAUUAUAUCAGUCACCUCGGUCGGGAAACUAUUUUCAUAUUCCCGCCAAGGAUAAACAUCAGUUAUAUUCUAUACAUUACAACACUAUUGACCUUUUUCCUUGUUUUUACAGCUGGCAUGAUCCCAGACUCGUAAUACUUGUUUACCAAAAACCAUCCAAGCUAUGGGAUUGAAGGUAACGGCGAGUCUGUCGCUAAGAUUGGAAUCUUUCUUCAACACAUCAUCGACCGUAAAAAACUUAAGGGACACGAGAGAACAAAAUACGGAUGAAACGUGCUAAUUCUACCGUCACUCUGCUAAUCAGCUAAUGCAAAUCAGAGCGAUGCAGCAGGAAGAGGAACGGGAACUUGCUUUGGAAAUGCUCAUCAAAUUGAGGUGGUUGAGGCUGCGAUUGAAAUUUGCCUCUUGUACGCAGUUUAUAGAAUGAUUCCAACGAGAAUUAUUGAUGUUGUUUAUAGAAUAAGUUAUUAGUAUAAUGUAUUCUAAGUAAGUAGAA